rnacentral:rRNA from 1 species
AUUGAACGCUGGCGGCAUGCCUUACACAUGCAAGUCGAGCGGGGUUUUCGGACCUAGCGGCGGACGGGUGAGUAAUGCGUAGGAAGCUGCCCGAUAGAGGGGGAUACCAGUUGGAAACGACUGUUAAUACCGCAUAAUGUCUACGGACCAAAGUGUGGGACCUUCGGGCCACAUGCUAUCGGAUGCGCCUACGUGGGAUUAGCUAGUUGGUGAGGUAAUGGCUCACCAAGGCGACGAUCUCUAGCUGGUUUGAGAGGAUGAUCAGCCACACUGGAACGGGGACACGGUCCAGACUCCUACGGGAGGCAGCAGUGGGGAAUAUUGGACAAUGGGCGCAAGCCUGAUCCAGCCAUGCCGCGUGUGUGAAGAAGGCCUUCGGGUUGUAAAGCACUUUCAGCGAGGAGGAAGGGGUGUGUGUUAAUAGCUGCAACCUUUGACGUUACUCGCAGAAGAAGCACCGGCUAACUCUGUGCCUGCAGCAGCCGCCGUAA